UCAAAUUCUCAUGAAGCCAGACAAUGACCACAAUCUCUAUUUUGGGUGAAGUAUUGUGCCGACCCAUUCCUGGCUGAGAGUUCUCUUGCCCUCUAUAGGGUGCCUGCCCCAUACUCGAUGCCCACAAAGGGUUAGAUUUUAAGUCUGAAGGAGAACGCAGGCACACCCCAUUUUAUUGCUCUUCCCUCUGUGGGGCUUUGGAGGUGCUGUUUUUUUUUUUUUUACAAACUAAAGGAAUGUGGCCACCCUGCCUCAAGCAAGUCUAUUGGCACCAUUUUUCCAACAGCCUUUGCUCUCUUUGUGUCUGUGAACCACAUUUUGGUAUUUCUCAGUGUUUCAAACUUUGUCAUUAUCAUUAUAUUUGUUAUAGUCAUCUGCAAGCAGUGAUUACAACUCGCUGAAAGCUCCUUUCUGGUGAACAUUCUUUUGGCAAUGAAGUAUUUUUUAAUUAAGGCAGGCACAUUGCUCUUUUAGACUUGAUGCUAUUGCACACUUAAUGGACUAUGGUAUCAUAACUUUAAUUGCACUGGGAAACCAAAAAAAUGUAUUUGACUCACUUGAUUGGGAUAUUCACUACCUAAAAGUGGUCUGGAACCCAACUCACAAUAUCUCCCAGGUGUGUCUGUACCUUGUUGAAGAGGAACCCAGGUGAUCCCAGCACCUAGAGCCCCAGGAUCCUAAAGAGAAAAGGCAACUGUGCCUCCCAGCACUGUAAAUGACUCAGGUCUAACUUUUCCAGGGCUUUUCUCUGCACCUUAAUCAUAGUAGAUGAAAACAAGUGAUAGCAAGUGGCAAAAUAAAGGGAACCAAAUCCUUGCAGAGGAAUUCUUUGUGGGAGAUGAAGGUCAAGUGGAAGGUGAAAUGUGGCCAGUUUAUGACUUACUAUUCUUGAGAGGCAAAACAGAUUGCUUUCCUUCAGGGAGAUUUGCUUAACCUUCAAGUUUCAGCCAAAGAAACCUAUUUGCAAGUCCCCAAACAAUGAUUAUGGAACACACUUCUCCCAAACCAGCAAACACAAUAUCCUAUGAUAGUAAUCCAGAAGUAAAAAAUAUUUACAUCUAGUAUGGAAAGCAUACAAAAAGGUUCCUUACAAAUUUUAAAUUCUAGGAUAGGCAGCAAAAAGGAAAACGUGAUGGAU